rnacentral:rRNA from 1 species
GAUGAACGCUGGCGGCGUGCCUAAUACAUGCAAGUCGAGCGAACGGACGAGAAGCUUGCUUUUCUGAUGUUAGCGGCGGACGGGUGAGUAACACGUGGAUAACCUACCUAUAAGACUGGGAUAACUUCGGGAAACCGGAGCUAAUACCGGAUAAUAUUUUGAACCGCAUGGUUCAAAAGUGAAAGACGGUCUUGCUGUCACUUAUAGAUGGAUCCGCGCUGCAUUAGCUAGUUGGUAAGGUAACGGCUUACCAAGGCAACGAUGCAUAGCCGACCUGAGAGGGUGAUCCGGCAACCUGGAACCGGGGAAAGGUCCAGACUCCUACGGGAGGCAGCAGUAGGGAAUCUUCCGCAAUGGGCGAAAGCCUGACGGAGCAACGCCGCGUGAGUGAUGAAGGUCUUCGGAUCGUAAAACUCUGUUAUUAGGGAAGAACAUAUGUGUAAGUAACUGUGCACAUCUUGACGGUACCUAAUCAGAAAGCCACGGCUAACUACGUG